rnacentral:rRNA from 1 species
AUUGAACGCUGGCGGCAUGCUUUACACAUGCAAGUCGAACGGCAGCGGGGAGGAGCUUGCUUCUCUGCCGGCGAGUGGCGCACGGGUGAGUAAUACAUCGGAACGUGUCGAGAAGAGGGGGAUAACCACCCGAAAGGGUGGCUAAUACCGCAUAAAUUCUGAGGAAGAAAGCUGGGGACCUGGGAAUAGGCCUAGCGCUUUUUGAGCGGCCGAUGUCGGAUUAGCUAGUUGGUGAGGUAAAGGCUCACCAAGGCGAAGAUCUGUAGCGGGUCUGAGAGGAUGAUCCGCCACACUGGGACUGAGACACGGCCCAGACUCCUACGGGAGGCAGCAGUGGGGAAUUUUGGACAAUGGGGGCAACCCUGAUCCAGCCAUGCCGCGUGUAUGAAGAAGGCCUUAGGGUUGUAAAGUACUUUUGUUAGGGAAGAAAAGUCAGAUGUGAAUAAUGGCUGAUACUGACGGUACCUAAAGAAUAAGCACCGGCUAACUACGUG